rnacentral:tRNA from 1 species
GCGCCCGUAGCUCAGCUGGAUAGAGCGCCUGACUACGGAUCAGGAGGUCAGGGGUUCGAAUCCUCUCGGGCGCGCCA